UUUCUGCAAUGUUCACAAAAAAUGAGCAGAGAUUACAAACAUUACCACCAACAUUCAUAUACUGAGAACCUAUUUAAAACGAGUAAAAAAUUUAUUGACAAUUCAUUGAAAUGGGCUGCUUAACACUGACAUUUCCAUUUCCAUUAUAAUCUGUAACAUAAAUCCUAUUAGGGAAAUUGUAUUUAAGACUACCUUCUUGGGGCUAUACAUAGUGUAUAGACAAGUGGUAGAAUGUAUGCUAGUGGGCUCAAUCCCCAUCUCCAGGAAAAAGAAACAGCAGCUUAUCUUUCUUUUAUCUGGUAAUGAGAUUUGAAAGAGCCUCAAGCUUGCUGGGCAGGUGUUGUACUGCUGAGCCACACUUCCUCUGCAAACAUUAUUUUGAGAUAGGGUCUCAUUACUUGCCAGGGCAUGCCUAUUUCAGUCUUCCUUUCACAGCUGGGUGACAUGUAUAAGCCACCAUGCCUAGCUUCUUCUGUGGGGAUGUAAUCUCAUAAACAUUUUUUGUUGUUGUUGCCAAUACUGGCCUGUAACUGUGAUCCUCCUGAUCUCAGCUUCACAUAGGACUGGGAUGAUAGGUGAGCAUCACUGUAUUCAACUACUGGUUGAAAAGUGGGGGUGGUUCAUUGAGGAUAACUUAGAACCAGAAUACUCAUCUCAGUUUUCCAAGUAGCUAGGAUUACAGGUAUGAGCCCUUGGGGCUUGGCACAAUUAUCUUCUUAAACUAAGAAUUUCACUGG